CAGUGCUCGCGUUGAUAACUCUGUGUGGCGCACGUUUAACCGAAGUCAAUGGUACAAGUCUUCUGUCUUCUUCAACUGAAGUCAAUGCUCUGCUAAUCUUUGGGGGGAGAUAGCGAGAGAGAUGUUGCGAUUGAAGCCUUUCAACAUUUUCCCAGUGAGUCAAUUGAACGGUCUUUCGAUCACUAACCCUCCGGUAAUAAAGUGUGUAUGCUCUGCUUCACUUUGAUCCAUUGUUGGCUAGUACAUGAAUCUUUGGAAAAAGACAUGGAGAUUUGUAAAUGUUGUUGUCCAGCAACCAUAAUAUAAAGCUCCCAAACAUCGUUGGGGAGACAUAUUAUACAGUUGGGGAAUGUUAUUUGUACCUGCCCUUUAUUUAUAUACAAGAAGUGGAAAUUGGCAUAGACUAAGAUGAAACGGGUGGGGAGUUUUCGUUGAUGAGUGGCAGCUCAAGAUUAGAAGUCGGUUCUGAGGGAGCAGAGGGUGUCAUGCUGUUGACUCCCAUAUGUGAGUUAAUUGGUGCAAUCAACCAAUCCCUGAUGCAGCCUGAUGUGCACUUUGUAGUGCAAUCGAUGGUCCAUGAAACCACACCAAUUAGAAGACAGACUAACCACUGCACCAAAUUUAAUCUUGCACAGCCUGAAACUAUAUGUGCAAUCUCAAUAAAAGCCACCUGGAGUACCAGAGUAACACCCACUGCCACCCAAAACAAGAUGUUUCGAUGAAUGCCCCUAAAUGCGUUCUUCUUCUCCAGUUCUCUUGCAUUGACUUGGUUGAAUACUUGACAAAGAACAAAGCUAUUGAAGAUAAUGGUUUUACUAACCUUCUCUUUGAUGUGCAGGAUGGCUUGCCCUUUGAAUUGGAAGGCCAUUAAGAUAGCUACCUGAUAUAGAACUUGACUGACAAGAUUUCUCCACAUAGGCUUGGUGAUAAGUGGUUUAGUUCUUCUCAGUGGCGGCAUGUCCAUUAGUUUCCCUGCUGGUGGCUCAGUCAGUAGUGCAAGGCCACCAAGAAGGGCUACAACGAAGUUUGCCCAAAGCAACUGGACUGAUGUUAUUGAAGAAUAUCCAAAACAUAUCGUUGUUAGCAAGCUUAUCAACAGCCCUGCAGCAUUCACGACACUGCACCAGAAGGAGCCUAUCAGAAGGGAAAGAGCUUCUCAUCACAGUGAUUUUAUCUACAAUAUUCAUCCUCUCUUCUGGGCUGUGAUUGAGAAACUUUUCUCCUUCGAGGACCAUCCUAUUUGAGUCGGGAAGCAGUCCACCCUCGCAAACUUCCAACCCUGACAAAUUAUCUUCUGAUACAAAUAUGACGUUAAAUCCAGCAUUUCUCCCAGCUUCUAUUUCUUUUAGCAUCUCUGUGCAGCACAUAUCUACUGCCAUUGGAUUUAGUGGUAGCCAACUAGAUUUAUCAAGACAGAUAGUUGUGACUGAAGCCAUGGUAAGACAAGCCAAAGGUUCUUGAGCAACGGCCUUGUCAGAGAGCAUCUUCUUGUUCCAAUAAGUGAUGGCUAGUGUGAUGGCAAAAGGAAUUCCUUCCAUUAAUCCAACCAAAGACAUAACAAGUGAAGUUGUCAUGGUCUGGAAGGCUAGAGUCAACAUCUUCCUUUUUAAGCAUAAAACGGAGGAACAACACUACAAGGAUGAGGAUUGAGAUUGAAAGCCCAGUAAUUUGUAUGCCACUAUUCACCUUGUCAAGUUCUGCUGGUAAAGGGGUAUUUUUGGGGGCAUGGGUACCCUGCUUCAUUAAAUGACCCCAUGUUGUGUCCAUGCCCACAGCUGUAACAAGCAUGCGACCAGUUCCUUCCGUCACCUUUGCACCAUAGAACAGAAAAGGGUUCUUUUUAUCAACAAUGAACUCUGAACCAUCAUUUAGUUUUAGGAAUCCACUGGAUAUGAACAAACCAUCAGCUGGGACCAGAUAAUCCCUCUCCAGGCAUAUUAUGUCACCCAGCAAAACAUUACGGAUGGAUAAUUUCUGUUGGCAUCCACCCCGGAAGACAUCAACAUUUUCCCACAUUUCUAAUGCUUUCUGAUUUCCUGUACAUGUCAUUGUCUGGGAAUGCUUGAGCCAGAAGUCACGAAGAGCAGGAACAACUACAAGUACAACAAUGGCAAGAAGUAUUAUGAACCCUUCGUACCAACCAGUCCUGUUUCCUUCCUCCUUGAUCCCAAAGCCAAGUGACAGCACUGCAGACACGAAGAGAAGGAAAAUGAUGUAACUAUUGCAUGAUUUCAAGAGGAUUUGAAGGAAGCUUCGUGCAGGAGUUUGGGUUGUGGCCAAGAUUGUGCUGGUUAUGCGUCGAGAACGUAGAUCUUCCUCAUUGCCAGGUAUUCCAUUCUCUAAACUCGUAUCCAGAGCCUCUGCAAUUCCUUGAAUGCCUCCAAACUUCUGUAAGGAAUCCAUGUCCUUAUCCUUUACCAUCUUUGAAAUGUUUUCUUGCUGGAGUUUUGCGUCUCUGCUUAUACGGUUACCAUUUUCACCGUCCAAAGAAUCCAAACUUACAUUCAUGGAAACUUGAGGUGAUGCAGAUGAUAUUUCCACGCCUGGUAUAAUUUGUUGAUCCUGCAAAGUAACAAUUAAAGCAUAUAUAUAUCAGAGUGAUGACUAUAAUCUUAAACUUAAGUCAGUAGUCUUCAGUGCAGAUGUAAUGCUCAUCCUCAAUAAUAUAUAGCCAUAGUCCAAUACUGCAUGUGCAGCAAACCUUAUCCAGAAGAAGUAACUAUAUACACGCACACACUCAUCAAUUCUAUAUAUUAUUGUAUUAUUACUAAAUAUAAAAAAUAUGCCAUCAAGUUAAACUUUUUGUAUGAAAUCUAAUAUAUCUAAGUAAAUAUAAUUAAAAUCUUAUUUAGAAUUGAACUUUUUUUCCUCAUGCGUGUCUUUAUGGUUUUCUCUAGUUAUAGUUUUUUAGUUGUGUAAUCAAUUAAUUCAUAAAUUUUAUUGAAAUUCAUAAGAAGUUAAAGCGGCCAGGGCCAUCAGUAUGACUUUUGAUGACCAAGAUUAUUUUGACACAACAUAUAAUUGAGAGCUAUUGGUCUCUCUCACUUAAGCAAAGUUUCUGAAGUUUCUUUUCGCUAACAUAGAAACAAAGGAAACUAAGAAGAGAAUAUCAAAAUUAUUCAAAAAAUAUUUCGAGAUCAAAGUGCUAACAUGAAUCGACACUAGAUCUCUUAAAAGUUCUAUCUAUGGUAUAAUGACUCAAGGUAUGUUAACUUUAGUUUUCAUCUAAUAAAUGUAACUAUUUAUGCAGAUGAUGCAUGUUUACGACUGGUUUUUAUGAUAAUAAUCACCCUAAAUUCAUUUAUUGGCUACUGCUAAUUCUUUCAAAUUCAAGAUCAUCGAUAUUGUCAUGACCAAUAUGUGCAUCAGCAGACUAGCUUAAUAAGCCGUUUGUAGCUGCAAUUUUUCUCUACAUUGUGAUCUGUCAUCUCGAUUAUCCUGCAGGGUCCUUAAGGCUUAAACAUUCGAAGCAAGUCAAUUUCCUCAUUUAUGAGCAUGUGAUAUCCUUCACAUGCCUUUGAUUCCCUUAGAAGUUAAAUUGUACCUAAUAUAUAAUGAAAGCUAAGUACGAAAUUGUUUCAGCUAAAAUAUGACUAUUAGUUUAUAAUCUCUACUUUAUUCAUGUUCCCCUUGUGCUUGGGAAUUGCAAUAUUUAGAUCCCUAGCCAAAAGGCACCCGAACUGCUCUUCUUCUUCAAGCACUACCACUUGUUGCUAUAUUUAAUUUUCUGGUACUUACCCAGGUUUGGAUGCGGUUUUGAGCAUCCCUAAAUCUUGGAGAACAGGUACGUGCAUCUAAAGAUGAUAGGUCCUGAAAAUAAGGAAGGCUCGGUCCUUCUUUUUUUUUUUUCUUUUUUUCCUCAUCAACAAGGACAUAUUCUUAGUUUUUAGCCUACGAAAUUUUAAAACCUCAUUAGUCACAUGUCAGAGGAGGAGAGUUCAGGUUUGCUCCAUCGGAAUAUAAACCACAUAGCUUUCUUUUCUUUAAAUUUCAGAGAGGUAUGCAAGAUAGUUUAUGCUUUAUCGAUUAUAAAGAUGAAGAAAUUUAUGUUUUUUUAUUUUUGCUGUCUGUCUUCUCAAUUUCUUAGUUUCUUUGUUAAAGGGGUUGGGGAUCAUUCCUGAGCAUGGUCUUAAUUCUCUAACUGUUUGGUGGGCAAUAUAUAUGGUUUUCAACUAAUUUUUCUCCCUUUGCUAAUUUCUGAAAUCAUACAAAGGUAAUAAAUGAAGGACUAUAUAUAAAAGAAACAUAUACAGUGAUCACAACUGACAUGUAAUCAUCUCCAGUAGCAGUAGAUUAGUCAUAUAUAGAUUUUGCUCAAAAUGAUUUCGGUUGCAUCAUUAUGUAGUUUGAAAUAUCAGUAUCCCAUGAUUCUCUAAUAAUAGUUAUCUUUGACAGGCUAGGCCAUGAUAGGUGCACGAUAGCAUUUCAAAUACUCAUUUAGUUAUAUGUCUUUGUUACCUAUACAUGACUAAUAUAUGGAAUCAGCUAGCAUUGAUCUACUUGGAGAAGUUGUCAAGAAGCUAGAAAUAUAUCUUUACCCGCCAUGCACAGAAGAUCCAAGCGAUCGAGACAUGCAAGAGCAAGAAAACUUACCAUUUUUCCCGUGACAUCGAUAUUGCUGAUUAUACUGUAACAGGAAGUUGAUGAUGAGACUGUAUCGAGAGAAGGAGAACCCUUCUCAUCAUGAGCUUUAUCUGCUCUCGAUAUUAGAUUUCUCUGCUGCAGGAUCAAAAGAAUCCAGCGCCAACGUUCUCUUGCAGUACUACCGGAUAUUAGCAAGGCCGUCUGCUGAGACUCGAGGUCCACGUGAUCGUGGCCAGAGCUUGUGCUCGACAUACAGCUUGUCUGAAUUUGCAUGGCGGCUGGCGCUGUGCAUCAAACUCACUUUCUGUACUUCAACAAACAAAUUAAUCAUUAAUGGGUAGGCAAUAAUAGAAUGAAAGAAUUCCAUGGUAUGAUUAAUUGGUAGCCAGACAUAUAUACUCACAUAACUGUAUUUUUCUCCUCAGCAGCCACAUAAUAACGGCACUGAUGCUGAUAGAAGUUGCUUUAUAGGUAGCUGGUCAUGUAUAUAUAUAAUAUAUAUAUAUGUUGCUUUUCAUUCAGAAAGAUGAAAGGACACGCUUUCAGUUCAGAAUCAAA